GCCAGCAUGGUGUAAUGGUUUGAGCACUGGACUAUGAAUCUGAAGACCAGGGUUCAAAUCUCUGCUCAGCCA
rnacentral:tRNA from 1 species